rnacentral:hammerhead_ribozyme from 1 species
AUUCAGUUGAUGAGUUCCAUAUAGGACGAAACAUGCGUCGUGAAU